rnacentral:rRNA from 2 species
AAACGACUCUCGGCAACGGAUAUCUCGGCUCACGCAUCGAUGAAGAACGUAGCAAAAUGCGAUACUUGGUGUGAAUUGCAGAAUCCCGUGAACCAUCGAGUUUUUGAACGCAAGUUGCGCCCGAAGCCUUUUGGCCGAGGGCACGUCUGCCUGGGCGUCACGCAU